rnacentral:rRNA from 1 species
UGCCAGCCGCCGCGGUAAUACGUAGGGGGCCAGCGUUGUCCGGAAUCAUUGGGCGUAAAGCGCGUGUAGGCGGUUCGAUAGGUCCGAUGUAAAAACUCGAGGCUCAACUUCGAGAGGUCAUCGGAAACCAUCGGACUAGAGUCCGGAAGAGGAGAGUGGAAUUCCUGGUGUAGCGGUGAAAUGCGCAGAUAUCAGGAAGAACACCGAUGGCGAAGGCAGCUCUCUGGGACGGUACUGACGCUGAGGCGCGAAGGCGUGGGUAGCGAACGGGAUUAGAUA